rnacentral:rRNA from 1 species
UACGUAGGGUGCAAGCGUUAAUCGGAAUUACUGGGCGUAAAGCGUGCGCAGGCGGUUGUGCAAGACAGAUGUGAAAUCCCCGGGCUCAACCUGGGAAUGGCAUUUGUGACUGCACGGCUAGAGUGUGUCAGAGGGGGGGUAGAAUUCCACGUGUAGCAGUGAAAUGCGUAGAUAUGUGGAGGAAUACCGAUGGCGAAGGCGGCGACCUGGAUCCCUACUGACGCUGAGGCACGAAAGCCAGGGGAGCAAACGGG